rnacentral:misc_RNA from 1 species
CUGUGUAAUGCGCUGAGGUAUCCCCUCAGCUUGCACAUCCCCUGUGUACCAUCUGGUUGCUUCGGCGGGUCACGAACUUCGUCGUCGCCUUUGGGCGGCGUGUACCCGCCGAUAGACUUUGAAACUCUGGUUUUCGAGAUGAUGUCCGAGCCAAAAUUGAAUCAACA